CUCACAUGUGUAGCAGUUGUCGGAGGAUGCACAUUGGGAAUGAAUAAGAAGGUGAUAGGUGUGACCCCCAUUGAAUUCAAAUGUGACUUUCUAUUUAUCAUCUCAUUGAUGGAUGAAGAAGGAGAUUUUUGGGAUCAAAUUUUAUCUUGGCUUGUUUUCGAGAGAACAGAGUAAAAAGUACAUUCCUGGGCUUGUGAGAAGAUUUUGGAGAGAGACCUAGAAAGAAAGCUCCAUCAAUUCUUCAUCAAUCCCUUGGAGGCUUGACAGGUCUACCACCACCCUCUCGAUCCUGGAGUGUCUGGAGCUGAAGAUACAUAAGAAAGAUUUUGAUGAUUUGGAUAAGUAAGAGGACAUGUAUAAAUUUCUAAGGAUUGGGGAUCCAAUUGACCUUUAAGUUGUAUUUUUUCUUUUUCUGCUUAUGUUUAAGAGGGAGCUCUUAUACUUCUAUAUAAUUCCUGUUAAUGUGCUGGUUCUGAUCCUUUUGGACCAGUUUUCCUUUGCCCUAAGGACUCCUUUUAUAUAGGAUUCGAGAUUCUUGUUUCCUGCUUAUCAUAAUAAAAACAUAAUUCUGUUA